UACGAAGGGGGCUAGCGUUGCUCGGAAUGACUGGGCGUAAAGGGCGCGUAGGCGGACAGCUUUGUCAGGCGUGAAAUUCCAGGGCUUAACCUUGGGGCUGCGUUUGAGACGGGUUGUCUUGAGUGGGGAAGAGGGUCGUGGAAUCCCCAGUGUAGAGGUGAAAUUCGUAGAUAUUGGGAAGAACACCGGUGGCGAAGGCGGCGACCUGGUCCUUUUUACUGACGCUGAGGCGCGAAAGCGUGGGGAGCAAACAGG
rnacentral:rRNA from 1 species